UACAGAGGGUGCAAGCGUUGUUCGGAAUUAUUGGGCGUAAAGGGCGCGUAGGCGGUGCCACAAGUCACCUGUGAAAUCUCCGGGCUUAACUCGGAGCCUGCAGGCGAAACUGUGGUGCUGGAGUGUGGGAGAGGUGCGUGGAAUUCCCGGUGUAGCGGUGAAAUGCGUAGAUAUCUGCAGGAACACCCGUGGCGAAAGCGGCGCGCUGGACCACUACUGACGCUGAGGAACGAAAGCUAGGGGAGCAAACAGG
rnacentral:rRNA from 1 species